GACGAACGCUGGCGGCGUGCUUAACACAUGCAAGUCGAACGGAAAGGCCCUGCUUUUGUGGGGUGCUCGAGUGGCGAACGGGUGAGUAACACGUGAGUAACCUGCCCUUGACUUUGGGAUAACUUCAGGAAACUGGGGCUAAUACCGGAUAGGAGCUCCUGCUGCAUGGUGGGGGUUGGAAAGUUUCGGCGGUUGGGGAUGGACUCGCGGCUUAUCAGCUUGUUGGUGGGGUAGUGGCUUACCAAGGCUUUGACGGGUAGCCGGCCUGAGAGGGUGACCGGCGACAUUGGGACUGAGAUACGGCCCAGAAUCCAACGGGAGGCAGCAGUGGGGAAUAUUGCAAAAUGGGCGGAAGCCUGAUGCAGCAACGCCGCGUGCGGGAUGACGGCCUUCGGGUUGUAAACCGCUUUCGCAUGUGACGAAGCGUGAGUGACGGUAAUGGGUAAAGAAGCACCGGCUAACUACGUG
rnacentral:rRNA from 1 species